GUCGAACGGGUGUACGGGGAGGAAGGCUUCGGCCGGAAAACCUGUCCAUGAGUGGCGGACGGGUGAGUAACGCGUGGGCAACCUGGCCUGUACAGGGGGAUAACACUUAGAAAUAGGUGCUAAUACCGCAUAACGGGGGAAGCCGCAUGGCUUUUCCCUGAAAACUCCGGUGGUACAGGAUGGGCCCGCGUCUGAUUAGCCAGUUGGCAGGGUAACGGCCUACCAAAGCGACGAUCAGUAGCCGGCCUGAGAGGGCGGACGGCCACACUGGGACUGAGACACGGCCCAGACUCCUACGGGAGGCAGCAGUGGGGGAUAUUGCACAAUGGGGGGAACCCUGAUGCAGCGACGCCGCGUGGGUGAAGAAGCGCCUCGGCGCGUAAAGCCCUGUCAGCAGGGAAGAAAAUGACGGUACCUGAAGAAGAAGCCCCGGCUAACUACGUGCCAGCAGCCGCGGUAAUACGUAGGGGGCAAGCGUUAUCCGGAUUUACUGGGUGUAAAGGGGGCGCAGACGGCGAUGCAAGCCAGGAGUGAAAGCCCGGGGCCCAACCCCGGGACUGCUCUUGGAACUGCGUGGCUGGAGUGCAGGAGGGGCAGGCGGAAUUCCU
rnacentral:rRNA from 1 species